GUGUCUGAGCUGUGCUGCAGUUUGGGUGCUGCCCGUGACUUUUGGGCUGUUGCUGUGAGUAAUUCCGUGAAGGGGUGUAACUUUUUUGAGCCAAAGGUCCUGUCCCUUAUUUAUCACUCUCAUCUUCCUUUGGAAACUGCUGGGAGGCUGGACUAGUUUUCAGGAUUAAAAGCUGCUGAACAGCACAUCCUCUGCCUCCCAGCCCCUCCUUUGUGGGACUCCAAGGCUGCCGCCAGCACCAGGCCAUGCAGGAUGUCUCCCUGUGAAUGACACCCGUGGCAGAUGAAUGAAAAGGUAGCUGACAACCUUGAAGUCCUCACCUCCAGUCAGGCGUUGAAUUCUGCUGAAUUGUUUUUUCUCGAGGUAAAAGCAGCAAAUGUUGUCUUAAACUGUAAUCCCUGCAUUUGUGGGGAAAUACAGGAGGGUGAAAGCAGGACCUACCCGAAGACACCACUUACAGUGGCAAUUUUACACUUGCACACUGAUUUCUAGGGAAGGGAAUAACUUUGAGUGCUCUGCCAGUUUGACAGCAGUGUUUCCUGGUAAAGGCAUCAGCUCUGAGGUAGGGAUCGCUUUCUUCCUUUCAUUUCGGACGCUGAAAGUUUUGGCCACUGUUUAGUGAAUCACAUUUCAAUCUGCGGCUGUAUUGAGUUGGUGCUGAAGUAGCAGCUCAGCGAUUCUCCUGAUGAUCCAGGCAGACUGGGACUUCUGCAGAGCUACCCCAGGCAGUGACAUGGAGCUGACACAGCAGGGAACGCAGGGGAGAAGGAGCUGAGGCUGGGCACUGGUGUCGUGGUCCAGGAAACACUUAAUUUCUUCAAAACACCAUUAACAAAGCAUGUGAUAACUCCCAGCUAUAUUCCUGAUCAACACUAGAUGUUGCUGUGCCGCUGCUCAUAUAAACUAUACAUUAGCAAGGUUUUUAUACUGUAUUUACCGCAAUUUCCUCUUUCCUGUUUCUGUUAGUCACUAUAUCCUGACACUAUAGGCUGGGGAAGUGGUUACUUUAAUUUACUUUUCUUUCAAAGUUUCAACUUUAUUUGGAUAAUAUCGAGUUUACAAUUCCCCUUCGAAUGCACAUGUAAAACUUUACAAGAAAAAGAGACUCUUCGAAUGCUAACAUGAGGCAACUCCUAUAUGAAUGUCAAAUAUUUACUCAACUCUGCUUCUGGAUUUUUUGCAAUCCAAGGGGAAUGACAUUGUUAACUGGACGAUUCCGGGAACAGACUGACAGCUGCAAGGCCACGGAGGGAAGUUUGUUUAUAAGGGGACAAAAAAAAAUAUAUAAAAAAAUUUAAAAAAAAAGUUUAGUCCUGCUGAGUUUCAGGCUUUCUACUCCCACAUGUUUGAGUGGGAGAAAGGACAAAUCUUAGGACGUUGAUUUCCCCAUGGCAACAGAAAACGGAAAUUACUUUAACCCCUUCUAGUGACAGAUGACUCAUUGCUCAGCCUGCUGCUAUUUUCCAAGCACUAAAACAAUACAGCUGCAAAGAAAAGGCCAGCCUGUAUUAUCUCAUAGGCUGAGCACCAGGCCCGUGGGAGAGGGCAGUUCUCUGGCUGCCUUUCUGUCGAAGAAAGGCAGAGCUGGAGCCUUUGGGUUGUUCUCUCAUUGUGUAAAGCAAGUGUGUGCUCUCCGUCCCCGCGCUGCUGGAGGGAGAAGCUGGGUGUCCCCAGGAUGGAGGAGAUGCAGCGUGGGAGGAGGGGCUGGUGGGUGUCCUAUUGCUUGGUCCUGCUCACUCUGCAUAUCAUGGGAUGGGUGGGUUGGAAGGGAUCCUAAAGAUCAUCUCCUUUCAGCCAUAGGCAGGGACAACCUCCACUAGAACAGGCUGCUCCAAGCCCCCUCCAAUCUAUCCAGGGAUGGGGCAGCUCCUCUGGGCAACCUGUGCCCCACCACCCUCACAAAGAACCUUUUUCUGGUAUAUAGUCUAAAUCUCUCCUCUUUCAGUUUCAAACUGUUCCCCUUGUCCCAUCUUGCACCCAGGGACCUGGCAGGACAUUGCCAAGCUUUCAGUUUAAGUGCAGGAAUGCGUCCUUCCCAAAUGCAGCCUGCUGAGGGGCAGCAGGGAUGAGCAGGGUUUCCAGGCCCCUAUGCAUCAAAAAGAGAGCUGGUGGCAGAAGUGAAUUCUGUCUUGCUGGGGAGGUGAUAACAAAUUCCCUCAGGGUGUGCUGUAAUGGGAAUAUUCAUCUUUGAAAGCUUAUUAUGGGUGAAAGGUUGGUACCCUCUCUUCCUGCUGGUUUUCCCAAAUCCUAGUAAGGAUUCUGCAAGGCUCAGAAGUGAGGCUGGUAAAGGCUUUCUGAGCCUAAGGUUCAUUUUGUGCAUAAGAUAUCACACCAUUGCAUGGGGGAGAUAUAAUGAGAUGAGAGACUGAAUAACUGGUCAGUUAACAUCACUUUAUUCACCACAAACUGGGAUCAGACGUCACACUAUUAGGAAAUCCAGGAUCCCAGGAAAACUGCGCAGUGGGACGGUGUCACAGGAGACGUGAAUCAUCUUCUUUCAGGGAAAGACAGGCUGAACUGCUGGUACAACAGCUGAGUCUUUACUCAGUCCUGUCAUUUGUAUGCUGCUAUGAUUGCCCUUCUCUUUCUAAUAGCAGAAAAUCAGGUCCACAAGGUUCUGUUUGGACAGCAUAAUUAACAAAAAGGACAGCUCCAUUACCAGGUUGUUCUGGGAACCAAAAUCUGCCUUAGCGGCACAAAGAUUAUCUUCCUGCAGGAAUCAACACACACCAACGUGAGCUGCUGGCUAAACCCAGACCUUGAAUGAGGGCUCCAGCAGCACAGUGCUCUCUGUUUGUUAUCUGGGAACACCCUGGGGCUGGCUACAGCUGUCCCAAAGCUGUCAUGCCAUCAGCAGCUGGACCAGGCUGCUCAGGCCAGCGCUGAUUGCUGGAGAACGAACCCACCCAGGUUCUGUCGGGGAGGUGCUGCUGGGCUCCGAGGUGUUAUAUUAUUCUGAUAAGAUUUUCUCACAGUUCUGCUCAGUGCUCUCCUACAAGGCAAAAUGUCCCCUCCCAAAACUGCAAGAGCCCUGUGAAACUGCCAGCUGUGGGGAGGGAGAACCAGAGAUCACCACAUCUUACUCUUGAAACAGAAAUUACAACUAUUUCUGUCUAAGCUUACAGCAGCCUAGUAGAGCCAGAGAAAGAUGUGGGAAAUCAGAUUAAAUUCUGCCUCUUGAGACUCCAUCCUUCAGCAUUCUGGUUUAGAAGCCCAUGAGUUAUGACACUGAACAAAAAGACUCUUCCUUUCAGAGAAGAAACAAUUGCCACAAUGUCCAUGUAGAAAAUGAGAAUAACAGUUCUAAUAUAGGUUUUUCUGCUUUAGUGCUCUCUCCACUUCUUUACCUAGAAAAUGGCUGUAUUACCUGGAAAAAAAAAAAAAGUGUAUUUUGCUGCUUGAAGGGGAAAGAGCUAAUUAAAUUUGUAAAAGCGGAUAAUAAUGUUAA